rnacentral:lncRNA from 1 species
CAGGCAUCGAGGUUACCUGUGAGAACACAUCAAUCAGCCAAGGCUACACUGAAGGGCGUGAAGCUUCCCAGAAAGCUGCUCAAAGGUGGCAGAAUUUAAGAAAGCCAGGAAAUGCCACCUGUGGAAGGAGCCGGGGGAACCCCAUCCUGAAAUACCGGGGACGCCGGGCAUCUAAGUCUGGGUUUGCUGAGGGCAGACUUCAGCUGUAAUUUUUUGGUAAUUUUUUGGUUUUAACUAAUGUUCUGUGGUUAUUCAGGAUGACCGCCAUCGAGGCUGAAAGGACACGCUACAGUCUUUUCAACGUGUUCCUAGAUUGAAAGUUAUCUCUCAGACAGCGUGUGUUGAGGGAGACGGUCUGUGAUUUCAUGGAGUUGGCUGAGCUGGUGAAAAGAGAAGGCCUGUGUAUCCACGGACAGAGGCAAUUGAAAACGAAUCCAAAAGGAUUUUUGUAAUGUAAAGAGCUGCAAGCCACAAUUACCAGCUGAACCUGAAAGUCCUUCCGCCACGCUGGAGUUUCACAACAAUGAAUCAAUUAUUCCUCAACCACCAGGCAGGCUGGCCCUGAAGAAGCCCCCACCUCCAAUAUCAGGAAUGUCCUUCCUCAGGCGUGAGUGCCUCUCCUGGGUCCUUCACAUCACACUGUGGGCUCUGGAUACUAAAAGGUCUUUGUCUUUUGCCAAGAUAUGAAUUCUACGUUUCCGCUUCUCUAAGACCCACCAGCUCUUCGAAAGUGGCUCUCCUCAAGUUAACCACUCUUAGGCCUGUCCCGGUGGCCACUUGACACCAGUGCCCAUUGGCUGACUGCCCACCAGUUGGCCGAUGAGCUGGGAGUCUCACAGGGACAGCUUCAAGGUCUCCAGGCACCAGGCGGCAAGGAGACUUCCUGAAAGGCUAAGAGAAAAGGGAGUCUUGCCAUACCUUAUGACUGACCUCCGCUUGACCUCCAGUCCCAGGGAUCUGCCUGCAAACCAAGCUCCGUGCACAUGGUGGACAUUUUAAACACUUUCAGAACACCAGACAGUGUGACGUGCGACUCAUGAGCCCAUUGUCUUCCCAUGCACUUGAGGACCACCUGACUAGAGGCUAGCAAGCACAUAGUUAGCUGGGCAUCCCACGCCGAUCAUCAAUCAAGAAAAUGCCCUACAGAUGUCCCUACAGAACAACCUGAUGACCCUAGCAUGUAUCAAGCUGAUAAAAAUACUGCCAGCAUACAAGACAGGUGAAGAGAGCCCAGAAGGGGCUGGGAACAGCAUAGUCAGUUAGUCAGAUCUGUGGCCUGGAGAGACAAACCCUACAAAGAGAGAAAGCCAGACAUCUCCGAGAGCCACAGCUGCGGAUGGCCUUCUGGGGCUCUGGAAGAGAACAAAGGCCCUGUGUGACUGUCCAGGGUGAAGCCCUUGUGGAAGACAGAGCCCCUUUCAAUGCCAGCCAACUCCCACCAAGUCAAGGCUGCCUUGGCCUUGGGCUAGAGGGGCAACCCUGAUGUGGCUGACGCAAGUGGGUGAUUCAAAAUCACCACCAGCAAGGUGGCGGUGACUGCUAGGGGACACAGGGGACAACUUCAGUUAGGUUUACCUAAUCUCAGCUCUGACUCCAGAAAGUGGGUAUGGAGCCUGGCAAUGAGCUGGUCAGAGCUCCAGGGGUGGAGACAAGGGCUGUGACUAAUGAAAUGUACCAGACAUGGCCAGCUGCAGGUAGUGGGCAGGUGAGCUGAGCCUAGGCCAAGGUUGAGACACAGAUGAACUCAAAAGCCAGAGGACAGUGGGAGAACAGCAUAGCUAUAGGGACAACAGCCCUCAGGACCACAGGCUAUCGAGACCACAGUGAAUGGGGACCACAGCUCAUGGGAUCAUAACCCACGGAGACAAAACCCCACAAGGAUCAUAACCCAUAAGACCACAGCCCACAGGAACCAACAGCCUAUGGAAAUGCAGUGUUUUGCAGCUAUGGGAAUCAGCUGAGAACUUGGGGUUCAAUGUCCCCCUUGAUCCUAGAAUAUGGCAGAGAGGCACUCAGCCAUAGGCUCCUAGCUCUGCUCAGCUCCUAUCUAAGACACUAGGAGUGAGUUGGGCAGAGGAGCCAGAUGUCCACCAAGUUAUAGGGGACCUAGGAAUGUGCCCUCUGUGUGGGUAGACCACAGCAGGGCCUGUCUUUUCACCCUCCCUGGCUCUCCCCUCAGUUCCUAAGCCAGCAGUUUCAUAGCUGAGCUGGCAAACAGACUGCAGCUGGAGAAAGGGGACUGGGUUAUAGCACAGGCGAGGCCAGGGGUGUUCUGGGAAAGUCAUGUUCAGCAGCAAAACUCAGAGAAGGCAACUGCGGAGGACACUGGUACAGAGAAGAGGUUCUGACCAGGGCAGGGGGCAGCUUCCCAGUAACACUGGACUCUCUAGAGAGACCAAGUUUAGGUCCACAUCUAACCACCUGGCUCUCAGAUGCAGCUCCUAGAAGAUGAGCCCCUCUUCUUAAAGCAGGUGUCCAGGGACCACGUGAAUGGGGUAAGGCAGUGCAGGUUUUGGGGGGCUAUCUGGGAUGAGCCUUUAGGCGAUUCUGGGAAAGACAAUGCAGAGGCAGAGGACACAUCUUUUCUACAAAGGUAGAAAAGCAGGCCCAGCAGGCCCUGCCCCUUCAGCUGAUGCCUUUCCAGGUCCUGGGAAGGAAUGUGUGGAGUUUGCUGGCAGAGAUCAAAUGAAGAUCUGGAGAACCCAGUCACACCCAGGACAACAGCCUCCAGGGAAUAGGGUUUGGGCAACCAGGAAAGAGCACAGGAGGGUGGCUAUGCUGAGCAGAGAGAGCAGUCAGAGUGAGUAGGCCACAGAGUGGCAGACAGAGGGACCCCGGGGAAGUUCACAUACCUCAGGUGUUGCACUGACCACUGUGGCCAGUGAUGUCUCAGGGAGGCUAAGGAAGCAAUCUGAGGGAAUGGCUUUCAGCUCAGGCUUCCCCUAGUGAGCACCAUGCGUGGAGGAGGGAGAGCCGGGAGAACUCAGAUGGUGACUGAUGGUGGGAGCAGGGGACAGUGGUGACAAUGUGAAGAAGAAGGGAGGAGGCAGGCUAACUAGCUGGAAGGGUGUUUUAAAUGCAGACAGCUUUGGUGGCGUACGCCUUUAAUCCCAGCACUCGGGAGGCAGAGGCAGGCAGAUCUCUGUGAGUUCGAGACCAGCCUGGUCCACAAGAGCUAGUUCCAGGACAGCCUCCAAAGCCACAGAGAAACCCUGUCUCCAAAAACCAGACAGCCCAUGGCACCUGAGAUGCCAUGCGAUGCAGAUUCCAGUGGAAAAGAAGAAUAAAACACAAAGGAAGCAGCUGGUUCCGGGAUGAACAGUGAAUUCAAACUAACCCAGGUGGGAGAGGGGGUGCAGCCAGGGUGGCCAGCCCAGACUCCUUUAUCCUGGGACAGCCCUCAUCAGUCUGCCUUUGGAUGCCUGGGACAGCUGUGGGUCUCAGGCUGGGUACCAGAUCCACCGGUCCCCAUGAACUCAGAAGUUCAGCUGUACACAGGGAGAGGAGGUGUGCCUGAGAGCGCCUAAGUGAAAAGAAGUGGUCCCUCAGCAGUUCUCAGCCUGUGGGCUGUGACCCCUUUGAGGAGGUCACAGAUCAGAUAUCCUCCUGCAUAUCAGAAAUUUACAUUACGAUUCAUAACAGUAGCAAAAUUACAGUUAUGAAGUAGCAACAAAGUAAUCUUCUGAUUGGGGUCAGCACAGACAUGAGGGACCGUAUUAAAGGGUCCCAGCAGGAGGAAGGUUGAGAACCACUGCUUUACACUGUCUAACGAACAGCGGUUUAAAGUGGCAGCUGGGGGUGUCUACAGCUGCCAAUGAGCCCUCACUCCAGGCCACAGCCUUGUUUUGGACACUGGGAAGACUUGAGGGUCUUCACACAAUGUAGGGGCCCUGGCCACACCCAAGGCACUGGAACUCCUUCUGUUCCUCCUGUGAGCCCUUCCUCAGGAAUGAAUGCAGGCUCAAGGACCACAGCUGGAGGGCACUGAGGGACAACACUGUGACAAGUGGGGGACCAGCCAUUCCUAUCAUCACUGUGUUCUAGGGGGCCUCCUGGAUAAGGUCUUUCACUUAGCCCUUAGCAAAGCUAGCUGGGGCAGAGCUGGGCGCUUUCCUCACCCCUGUGAAAAGGCCUGAAAGGCCUGGUGUGACUGAGGCCAGCCUGCAUGUUACCAUAGAACUGCACAUGGUGCUGUCCUGCAGCCAGCAGAGCUGGGGAGCCCCAGGUGCCUCCCGCCCUGUAUUCUGCACUAUGGGAGCCCCAGGCACCUCCUGCCCUGUAUUCUACACUAUGGGAGCCCCAGGAGCCUCCUGCCCUGUAUUCUACAUGAUUCACUAUGCCAUGUCAGUGCAUCUGCAGGCCAGUGACAGCGUAGUGAGGCAACAGCUAGCCAGAGUCAUGGCUCCCAUUGUGCCCAUGACCCCGCUACCCUCUGAAGAAGACAGGAAUGAUCGACUGGUGACCACACAUUUGGGUGAGUCAGGUGCACCUGCACCAUAGCUCACCAGGAGGAAACACCCCCACUAGUCUCCAGAAGUCCAAACUGAUACACACCGGGGUGCUUUCUCCCCUGAGUGACUCACUCAAAAGUUUUAUUUUUGCUCAACCAAAACUUUUGUAUUAUUUGGGCACACUCCAGGUAUUGGGUUAGGAACAUCUAAAAAUAAGCCCUCACUACUGGCUCCCAGUAUGGCAAGGACUUGUGCCUCUACAGUGAGGUCACAAUGCUCUGAGCUCUGUCCCUCCUUCCCACACGCAUGGCCCAGGCCAAAGUAACCUCAACUUUUCAGAAAUCUAAGGGACAUUCCUAAGAAGUAGGAGUGGGCAUGGCCUUGGUAGGAGUAGACGCCCAUGUCCUCAACUGGCAGAGGGCAAGUUGGGUCUUGGUACUCUGAGGGCACCUCGAGGCUGGACACAGCCCUAUAAGGAGCUUCUGGUUAGGACCAAGCAACAGCACCAAGAAUAGCCUCAGCUGGCCUUCGGACGGACCGGCGCCAGGGUCCCAAGGAGGGCGCCAGGACAGCCAGACGGGUUUGAUGCCUGGUUUCCUUCCUGCUAACUGCCCAGUAUGGCUCCCUGAGGCUGGGGCCUGGGGCACACAGCAGGGCAAACUGCUGGCCACAGAUGCCAGGCCAGAUGCCAUGCUGAGCAACUUCAACACACACAAUCACCCGUGUUCAUGCUCUGAAGCUUGCAUACCCUCCCUCUCCUCCCCUGACACAGGUGGCCCCUCCCUCACACCCAACUCCUUCUUGUCUGCCUUGUGCCCCAGAGGGUAAGUGUCUGGCUGUGCCCUUUGACCUUGACCUGACUCAGAAAUGAGUCAUUAAAACCCUGCUGUCUGGAAUCUGUGGGACUUCUGGCCACCUCCCAUCCGAAUGACCCUGGAGGGAGUGGGCAGCCACCUCUAAACGGGAUCCCGUUGUUCAGCCUGGAAGAAAGCCAGGGCAGAGUGCGGCCUGCUGGGUCCCAGAGCAGGAAGCAGAGGAGAGGAUAGGCAAGAUGUGUGAGGUUGAAAGCCAAAGGGGGGUGGGAGGGUUGCUGCAGGGCCCAGCCUCUCUUCCUGUACACUGGCCGUGUUAUUCUAAGGCAGGGCCUGGCUCAGCUACCCUUGGAGGGUGGUGUCCAGGGGUGCUCACAUCAGUCUCCUAGGGUUUGGGCAGUUCAGCUACCGUGGGAAGAUUAAUCCCCACACUAGGUGUAAGCUAGAGAUGGGAGGUGGCUCAGGGGACUUUGGGGCACAGUGUCUGGUGUGGGCCCCUGUGGAGUACUGAGCAGAGAUUGUUUGUCCUUGUGGAGCAGAGCUGACUUGAACACUGGCUGUUUUCCAGGUGGUGGGGCUGGGGACACGGACAUGGGCUUGGAGUUCUAUGAGGGAAUGAGCGCUGGGCUCACAGGCUGCUCUCAGGUGUUUUCAAGUCCCUUGACCCCAGUAUCUGAAGGCUGACAGAUACUGAAGACUCCUUGUCCUGCAGUCUGGCUGGGUUCUGCAACACUGACUGCGGCAGUCCGUUGCAGCUCUCAUAGACUGGUGUUUUGUGUCUGAGGCAUUCCCAGGCUGGCCUUGCACACUGAUG